ACUAUUUUGGCAGAAAAAUGUAUUAAAUUUAGGAUUUAAUAAUGUAUAUUAUAUAUACAAAUAGUA
rnacentral:tRNA from 1 species